rnacentral:rRNA from 1 species
ACCCGCUGAACUUAAGCAUAUCAAUAAGCGGAGGAAAAGAAACCAACAGGGAUUGCCCUAGUAACGGCGAGUGAAGCGGCAUCAGCUCAAAUUUGAAAUCUGGCUCUUUUAGGGUCCGAGUUGUAAUUUGCAGAGGGCGCUUUGGCAUAGGCAGCGAUUCAAGUUCCUUGGAACAGGACGUCACAGAGGGUGAGAAUCCCGUACGUGGUCGCUAGCUCUUGCCGUGUAAAGCCCCUUCGACGAGUCGAGUUGUUUGGGAAUGCAGCUCUAAAUGGGAGGUAAAUUUCUUCUAAAGCUAAAUAUUGGCCAGAGACCGAUAGCGCACAAGUAGAGUGAUCGAAAGAUGAAAAGCACUUUGGAAAGAGAGUCAAACAGCACGUGAAAUUGUUGAAAGGGAAGCGCUUGCAGCCAGACUUGCUUACAGUUGCUCAUCCGGGCUUUUGCCCGGUGCACUCUUCUGUAGGCAGGCCAGCAUCAGUUUGGGCGGUAGGAUAAAGGUCUCUGUCACGUACCUCUCUUCGGGGAGGCCUUAUAGGGGAGACGACAUACUACCAGCCUGGACUGAGGUCCGCGCAUCUGCUAGGAUGCUGGCGUAAUGGCUGU